CGUAGGCGCAAGCGUUGUCCGGAAUUAUUGGCGUAAGAGCUCGUAGGUGGCUUGUCGCGUCUGCCGUGAAGCUCGCAGCUUAACUGCGGGUCUGCGGUGGAUACGGGCAGGCUAGAGGUAGGUAGGGAGAACGGAAUUCCUGGUGUAGCGGUGAAAUGCGCAGAUAUCAGGAGGAACACCGGUGGCGAAGGCGGUUCUCUGGGCCUUACCUGACGCUGAGGAGCGAAAGCGUGGGAGCGAACAGGAUU
rnacentral:rRNA from 1 species